rnacentral:lncRNA from 10 species
CACGAGCUUCUACAUGUUAACCAGGGUAAAGAGCAACCGCUGACAGGAAGGGGCCCAGCAGUCAACCCCCGGGAAGGCCAGGAUGUGGCCUUGUUUCGGCAAGGCCGCCCUAUCACCACGGAGAUGGGCAGGCAGGAGACAUCCCCAGUCAGUCGGGCCCAGGUGGGGAUCAGGAGGUUUCAGGAAAACACAAGCUAUGCAGUGGGGCAGGUGAGGCUUGGCCUGCCCAGCCUGUCCUGAGUGUCAUGGGAACAGCUCUGGAAGUGACUCCUCUGUCCUCUGGAAUCUGGAUCAGAUGGGGCCUUCUCCAGACAUCUGUGCUCAGCAGAUGCGACAGACGGCCCCUCGAGUGUAGCCCAGGAUCCAGCACCGGCCCAAGCAGGUGGGAGCUAAGGGGAAACCGAGGCUCACAGCGAGGAACUUGGUCAACAAGCCCAGGCCCCUCCACCCUGCCCGCGUUUCCUGCACUGCACUGGAUCAAACCGGUUUGAUCCUUGAUAAUGCCUCCGACAAAUAUUUGAUGAGGGAGGAGGCUGAGAGAGGUGAGGAAAUCAGUUUCUCAGGGACAGGCUGGACACAGGGGUCAUGCACCGGGUAGCUGUGAGGGCAGGGGUGGCGUCUCACCUCAGGGACACAGCUCCUGGGGAGGGCGGCAGAGACCCUGACAGUCUCGCCUCGCAGGCGUCUUUCUCCAGGCUAGAAACCAAUGACUCAUCUCUCAGGCUCUCUAGCAAACAGCGGGGCCCACACACCACAGUUGUGGUCGAAUGUUUCCCUGAGGGCUACGGAGCCUGGUCUUGCCGAAUACAAAGAGGAGGCUCUCAGCCGUCUGCUUUCUUCCUGCAGGAAUCCUGGGCGUGAUCUCCCUCGGCUACGUGCAGCCACGUGGAGACGCUGUGGGGAUUCUUGUUGCUGGUGACUGAGUAUUCCCAACCGGUAGUAUUUGUUUUUUAGGGGCUGUGGAACAAAUCACCACAAACUGGAGGGCCGAAAACACCAGCAAUGGGCUCCCUCUUGGUUCUGGAGCCGAGAAGGCAGAAAUGAAGGCGUCAUCAGGGUUGCUCCUUCUGGGGCCUCAGAGCAGGACUCUGUUCCCUGCCCGUCCCCAGCUCCGGUGGUUGGCGGCCUUCCUCCGCCUGUGGCCCUGCACUCCAAUCGCUGCCUCUGUUGUCACUUGGCCCCCCAUGUGCCUCUGUGUCUCAGAAGGACACAAGUCAUAUUGAAUUAAGGACCCUCCCUACCCCAGCAUGACCCCGUUUUAACUUAGAACUUUCACAAUGAUCUGAUUUGCAAAGAAGGCUGGAUUCUGAGGUCCUGGGAAGGACAUGAAUUUUGGGGGAUGCUGUUCACCUCAGUACACCGGUGCAGAGUUCGGUGACACCGCCAAGUUGCUUGACGGUGAGCAGCCUGGCAUUGUAGAAAGGCAGAGGUUGACUUUAGUUUGGUCCCUGGCUUUGUCCUUUAUUUGUUCUGUGACACCUUGGACAAGUUUUGUGACCCGAGUGUCAGUUUCCUAGGAACCAGUGACAAUGAUCAGAGAUAGGGGGACUCAAGGGUAAGUAAAGUGCAGGAUGAACUGCAGCGGAGCGUGUGAGGUGCCUGGCAGGUGUCGGCCACCCAGUGGCGCUCGAAGCACCUGCUGCUCCCUCCUUCCUCGCUCCCAGCUGCCUUCUCUGCUGGGAGCUCUUUGGAGAGGAGCUGUGUGACUGGUUCAUCCUGUCCCUCGAGGAGCUACCAGUUCAGUCAAGGACAUUGAGAAGCAGCGGAUGGUGACAGUGCAGUGUGACAGUGGUGUGCUGUGGGAGCCCCAUGGAGCGGCUACCCAGGCAGGAACGUCAGGGAGGCUUCCUGGAGGAGGUGGUGCUUCAGAUGAGACUUGAAGGAGCAGAAGGUGUUUGCUAGACAAAGGGGCUUGCUUGGAUGAAUGGUCUUCAGAGCGUGGUCCCAGUAAGGAAGGAGACCACUACUACUCUUGCUGCCCUCCUCCCCCGACCUUGCCUAGUUUACAAGACAGGAGGAAAGAGAGAAAGCAAAAAGUUAGAAAAAAAAAAAAAAAAAACAGAAGUAAGAUAAAUAGCCAGAAGACCUUGGCACCACCACCUGGCCCUGGUAGUUAAAAAAAGUAAUAAUAAUAAUAUCGACCCCUGACUUAAACUACUUGUAUUAUCUGUAAAUUCCAGACAUUGUAGGAAAAAGCAUUGCAAAAUUUUCUGUUCUGUUAGCUGAUUCAUGUAGCCCCCAGUCACGUUCCCCAUGCUUGUUCGAUUUAUCAUGACCCUUUCACGUGGGCCCCUUAGAGGUGUAAGCCCUUAAAAGGGCCAAGAAUUUCUUUUUCCGGGAGCUCGGCUCUUAAGACGCAAGUCUGCUGAUGCUCCCGGCUGAAUAAACCUCUUCCUUCUUUAAUCCAGUGUCUGAGGAGUUUUGUCUGUGGCUCCUCCUGCUACACCAGAACAGCAGGGCCGGCAUCCCCUGAGCUAGAACAACCCUGAGGCAGGGCAUCCACUGCAGGGAAGGCUGGGAGAGGGGCCAGAGAAACCUGUCAGGGGAUUCUGAUGUGUGCUCCGGUCUCAGGACAUUCUCACAGGGGCGACAGGGACUGGAGCUGGGACAGAGUGUGGC